rnacentral:misc_RNA from 1 species
AAGUCGUAACAAGGUUUCCGUAGGUGAACCUGCGGAAGGAUCAUUACCGAGAGCGUUUGUUUUUUAAAUCAAACACCUCCCCACCCUUGUAUAUUUUUUAGCUGAAAAGCAGCUUCGGCGGGUCGUCAUGAAACGUUUGUAAAAAAAAUAUAAUGUUUUAUUGACAUUGGCACAUUUUGUGCGGAUUUGUGCUCGCCGAAGAACCAACUCUUUUGAUAAUUUGAAGUCUGAUAAUAAAUUUAUAAAAUAAAUCAAAA